rnacentral:rRNA from 2 species
ACGGGAGGCAGCAGUGGGGAAUAUUGCACAAUGGGGGAAACCCUGAUGCAGCGACGCCGCGUGAGUGAAGAAGUAUUUCGGUAUGUAAAGCUCUAUCAGCAGGGAAGAUAAUGACGGUACCUGACUAAGAAGCACCGGCUAAAUACGUGCCAGCAGCCGCGGUAAUACGUAUGGUGCAAGCGUUAUCCGGAUUUACUGGGUGUAAAGGGAGCGUAGACGGCAUGGCAAGUCUGAAGUGAAAGCCUGGGGCUCAACCCCGGAACUGCUUUGGAAACUGUUAAGCUAGAGUGCAGGAGAGGUAAGUGGAAUUCCUAGUGUAGCGGUGAAAUGCGUAGAUAUUAGGAGGAACACCAGUGGCGAAGGCGGCUUACUGGACGAUAACUGACGCUGAGGCUCGAAAGCGUGGGGAGCAAACAGGAUUAGAUACCCUGGUA